rnacentral:misc_RNA from 1 species
AGAUCAAGUGGUUCAGAUCACCGACUGCAACAUAAUAUUAAACUAAAUAAGCUCAUAUUCAAUACAAUAACCAACAAGCAAGUAAUUACCCAAAUAACAUAUCAAAAAAGAAGCUUUAGAAUAACCACUGAAAUUAAGAAUAAGUACAAAAAGAGCUCAAUGAAUAACUAGUAUCUUGGCCACAUAUCAGAACUGCAAUGAACUAGAAAUGCAGAUAUUAGUCCUAGCUUUACUCUAAUUAGGAGGUAGUGCAAUGGUCAUCGUUUCCUAAAUUAUAAAUUACACAAAAAGUUGACAUGGAUUCAACACCCAAGGAAACUAUUGCUCAUUUAUUUCCUAAACUUGAACAUAAACAGCUUGAAUUUUUUAUAUUAAUCAAGACUAGCACAAUAGACACCAUGAAGAUCCAAGAUGGCUUGGGAAGAAACUCAGAUUUUCCACUCCAACACCAUGUUCUCUAACUAAUUAAGUUACCACCUGAGGUGCACCUUUAACAACACUGUGCGACUCACCCUACCGACAUGCUAAUAAAUGAAAUAAAACAUAAAUUUGCCCCAACCUAACUACGAAAAGUGCAUUGCAAUCUAAACCUUAUAUUUGGACUUAUUGCACCUUUCAAGGA